GAUAUGAUAGAAUAUAUAUGAAGGUUGUGAGUAGGUCAACAUGGAAUCGGUCACUCCUAAUAAGAGGAGAUCGCAUCUUACUUGCUCUAUUGAUUAAUGAUUCAAGAAGCCUUUGAUCAAAGCAGGAUAAAAAUUUAGAAAGAGUUUUAAGUAUUUCAUUAAUCAAAUUAUCAUUAAAGAUUAAGAGAAAUAUGAAUAUGAUGUUGGAUUUGACAUCAUUCCAUAUCCAGAGUCAUAUUCGGGAUGCAGGGUGAUCGCAGGAUCGAAUUGCACGGUAGCUUUCCACUAAAGGAUAUUUUUGAUAUUUUUAUCAAAAUUUUAUAUC
rnacentral:lncRNA from 1 species